CGACCCACACCUGCCAUGAAUAACUAGGAAGCAUCGAGUAGCAGUGACUUUGGAAAUGGUGACUCAAGACUAUGUACUUGAAUGAAUAUGUGUGUGUGUGUGUGUGUGUGUGUGUGCUUGCAAGGUGGUUGUUCUUUUCCCUCUGUUUCCUGUCUCACUGCUCGUCUUUGAGCUUCAGAUUAUACCAUUUCCUCUCACACCUGUGACUGUGUCACGUCCUGAUCCUUCCACCCCUGCCCGUAUUUAUCUAUUCUUUUUAUUUCUCUCUCCCGCUCUCUCUCCCUCAAUGUAGGUAAGUGACUGCUUACGCUACUCCUUUCCUAUUCAACUUUGGAAAAUGAUUUGUUAUGCAUUUUAUUGUCAUGUAGUCCUCACACAUUGUGUGCAUCAGGGUAAUUGCAUCAAUGUGUUAUCCCCUACCUCAAGGGGAUUUUGUUUUGGAAAAAUAUUUAGGCUGUGUCCUCAGUCUUUCUCAGCCUGGGGUCUAGCUUACCUGUGUCAACAUGGUGACGGCGCCAGGUGUACUGACGACCCUUGUGUUAACAGGAUUGUGUGUCCACGUCACAGUGAUUCGUGGCAGGACGUGGAGAGUUGUGUGCGGUUCUCCUCCCAGCUGUGUGACCUGUCCGAGGCCUUCUCUAACUUCGAGGUGUACAACAUGAUCCGCCUGGGCCUCCACCAGGGCCCGGGGAGUCCAGCCUGGACAGAAAAUCUGGGGUUUGGCGUCCGUGAUUUCAACUUCAGCAGCCCCUCUGUCUUGGUCUCUCUGUCUGGAGAGAUGCUGGGAGUGGAGGUGCACUUACCUUGUUCUAGCAAAAGGGAGUGUCUUCCUCUGCAGAGUUGCUGUCCACUGUCAAAAUUUAUUGACCUCUGGGUCACCGUGACAGUAUAUGACCGGCAGAACCCCUCCGACUACAAGACGCAGAUUGGUUUGGUCCAGACGAUGGUGUAUGGGGCAGAGUUCUCAAACCUGGUCCCAGGACAUGACUACUGUGUCGUGGCUAACUUCUCCAUCAGUCCGGCCACCUUCCCCCAGGCCUCGUCUCCUCCCUCGGACCCCAGUUGUGUCCACCAUGCUGGCCCAGGACUAGGGUUGCAGCCAGUGUUGUUGGGGAUAGGAGUGUGUGCUGUACUCUUCUCUCCUCUCCUUGCUCUGGCUCUGUACCUGCUGAAACAAAAACGAGAUGUACCACACGUAAACAGACUCCCCAAGUCUCUAGCAUCUCUUCAGGCAUUCCUCCAGGACCUACCGGAGUCCCCUUCAGACCCUGUUGACCCCAGUGACAUUGUAGACGACCACCUCUCCAUCCUGUCCUCUUUCUCCAGCUGUGUCUACACCGAGGCCCAGGCCCCAAGCCUGGGUAAUGGGUACAACAGCAACCCCUUCCUCCGUGACUAUAGGUCAGGCAACAUGCACUGGAACACUGAGAGAAUGGAGCUGGACCUGAACUCAGGCAGCACCAUAUCCCUGCCAUGCUCCACUGUGCCUAUAGGCCUGCAUAUGAUCCAGUGCAGCUUUGAUUCACCUCGACAACCACAUCCAGGGCCCAAUGUGCCAGUUCUACCGUACCCUGGUUCUCUAUCUCUGUCAGAGGCCGUGGAGGGCCAGGUGGUCCCGUUGUGUUCUGUGAGGUUUGGGAGGGUGAGUGAUGGGUGUGAGAACCUUGAGGGACUACAGUGGUGUAACCUGUAGCAUGUUGCACUGCAGUACUCACAAUGCCAUGUUUAACAUAUUCCUAUGAACUCCACAGUGCUGAGAGGAGUUCAAAAACUUUAUUGACCAUUUUUGUUGAAAAUUGUAAUUUUUUUCCCUCAGCUUACAGACAUACAUUUUCAGUUCCAACAGGACUGUGGUAUGGUCCAGCACCUUACCAAGGUCAACCAUAACAGGGACAAUACUGGACAGUGCAAUCAUAAACACAUACACUCUUAGAAAAAAGGGUUUCAAAAGGGUUCUUCGGCUGUCCCCAUAGGAGAACCCUUUUCGGAACCAAAACUAUUCUUCCUGGAACCAAAAAGGGUUCUUCAAUGGGUUAUCCUAUGGGGACAGCCGACAAGGUUCUAGAUGGCACCUUUUUUUUUCUAAGGGGGGUUUAUUAUUCUGACUCCCCUUUAAAUUUACUUUGUCUACUGUGCCAAGUGUCUUUUCAGCUCUUUUUCUGUGUCAUAAUAGGUUGUUCUUCCCCCUCUCUCUGCCUUGCUUCUGACUCACUGUUGCCCCAUCCCAUCUCCGGCCUGACCCCCACUGUCUCUUACCCGUGUCUGACAUCUCAUUCUGGGGGAGGAGGGCAGAGGGUAGGGGAACAUCUCUCUCCUGCCUCUUGUUUCACUGGUGGUGCACUUUCCCCGGAACAUUAGAACAUUCGGGGGUAGAGACAGAGGAGACGUUGGAUGGGAAACAGUGAUUGGCCCUAUUGUUCUGGAAACCACAUAGCCUGUGUAUGGCUCAUAAUAAUAUCACUGUCUGGAGGAUUUUGAUUCAUGUAUUCAUGUUGUUGGUCUAAUAUUGGGGUUGGAUCAUGAGUCCAAACUAAGCAGUGUGUUUGCUUGCCAAUCAUAAAUGCUAAUUCUCAGGCAUCCAACAGGUAUCGCAUCUAACCUUGCACUUGGGUUUUUGGAGCAACUUUUAUGGGUUCUGCUGUAUUUGCAGUCAAUUCACCGGAAACCUGAUCCAAAAUGGUCGCUUUGUGGCUCACUCUUCACUGGUGUGUGCUGGCUAGCUCUGCAGCUGAGGUGGUGAAGUUGGAUUGGGGAUUUACGUGGUGUUUGACAGGCAGUAAAAAAUGUUGGGGGGGGCUUGCCUGUUAUGCAUGUUAUUUUGGCAUUAAAUGUCACAUCAGUUUGCAAACAAUGCAAUAAAAAUAAAUCAAUGAGUUAAUAAAGCCGC
ensembl:lncRNA